UUUUGAUAUGCCCAUGGCUGAGAGAGAGAGAGAGAGAGAGAGAGGAUGAGAGCUUUCUCAAUCUUGAUUAAAACACCCUUGGGAGUGAUACAACCUCUUUUAGGAUAGUUUUCAUCUGUGUUCACAGUCUCCGGAUGCCACUGAUAUGCAAUGUAGUUUCUUUGAGAAGAUAGUCGAGACAAGAUUGACUGAGAUUCCAUUUUGGUAUGGGGCCGCUGUGGUUGAUUAAGCCGAAGACUUGGCAAGGUUUGCUCGAGUUAUCUCUCUUGUCUAGACCAUUUGUGAGAAGGGAUCUUUUGUUUUCACCAAUACCCCACCAGUCUCUAUAUCUGCAAUAAGUCUAUUUCUCAGCUAAGGAAUAUAGCUUGUCAACAUAUCACACUACCCUUUCUAAAAACCGAUCCUAUGUUUUAGAUGCUUCCGUAGCCUAGAAUACAUUGUUGUGCGAAUAUGUAAUCUCUUGGCACGUCAGGGUUAGUUUCUUCUGUACCUCUAGAUAUUCUCUUACUUUGUAGGAUUCCCAAGCUACCAAAUCUUUAAGAAAUUAAACAACUGUAGCCGAACCCCAUCCAUAAGAAAGGUCUACUCUGUAGGUCACAGCUAUUACAGCCGCACUCCUCAUAGUUAAGGUGAUUUAUUUCUUCCAUCAAAAUCUGAUCCUUCAGAAGUUGGGUUUUAAAAUUAUAAGUAAGUAGAUAAAAGUGCAUUAGUGGUAUUUCCAGAUGCUGCACUCAUUAACUUUUUUUUUCCAUUUAUGUUCCAACUCAAUUUAAGAUGGUUCUCGAAUUCAUAUAAAAUCAUUUACAACACGGACAUGGUAGCUAAGAAAUUGUAUCGUCUUACACUAGUUUCCUAAUAAAUAAAAAUGGGGAUUGGUGAGGUGGUUGGUUAUAUUCCCUUCUCAUCGAUGGUCUAGAUGUGCGAGAUGACUCUCAUGGAGGUAAAGAUAAAAUGGUGAAUUUGUGAAGUUCCCAAGAUAAUAAUGGUAAUUCCUAAAAAGUGGGUUAGAUUUUCAGCUUGUGAAUUUGUUGUAUUGCAUAAUUUCCAGGCCAAUGGAUCCUCCAAUACAGGUGAUGAUGUUUCCAACUAUAGUUGUGUAAGCUUUUUUGGGGAUUGAGUAAAUCAUCCCAUAACUCAAACUAAUGUAAAUGAUGGAUGCAGUAGUGAAUUUGUUGCAAGGUGAAUAGGUUUGUUGCCUUUGCAAGAAGUAAAGAAGACAAAAACAGGUUGUAAAAUAAAGCGUGUAUAUGGAUGAAAGAGGAGAGUGGACGGAAUGUGUACCUUUGACUUGUGGUCACUGAUGCUCUCGCUCAUCCAAUUCAUGCUGCAACAGGAAACAACAAAAGGAAUGAGUGACGUAACGCCAAGCAUUAGGAGUUUGCUUGUAGAUUUGAUCAUCAUUCCAUUACUAAUGUAAUCUUUGUCAUCUUCCGUAGUUUCUGACUACAAAUGAGACUAUUUAACUUAGCCAAUGUGUCACUAGUGAGCGUAAAUGAAAAUAUUAUUUUUAGUA